rnacentral:rRNA from 1 species
UGGCGGCGCGUCUUAAACAUGCAAGUCAAGCGGAGUAGUAAUACUCAGCGGCGAACGGGUGAGUAACACGUGGGUAAUCUUCCUCCGAGUCUGGAAUAACUUUCCGAAAGGGAGGCUAAUACUGGAUAGUCCCGGGAGAUCAUAGGAAUUUUCGGGUAAAGAUUUAUUGCUCGGAGAUGGGCCCGCGUCCGAUUAGCUAGUUGGUAAGGUAAGGGCUUACCAAGGCGACGAUCGGUAGUCGGCCUGAGAGGGUGUUCGGCCACAAUGGAACUGAGACACGGUCCAUACUCCUACGGGAGGCAGCAGUUAAGAC